GAUGAACGCUGGCGGCGUGCCUAAUACAUGCAAGUCGAGCGAACGGACGAGAAGCUUGCUCCUCUGAUGUUAGCGGCGGACGGGUGAGUAACACGUGGAUAACCUACCUAUAAGACUGGGAUAACUUCGGGAAACCGGAGCUAAUACCGGAUAAUAUUUUGAACCGCAUGGUUCAAAAGUGAAAGACGGUCUUGCUGUCACUUAUAGAUGGAUCCGCGCUGCAUUAGCUAGUUGGUAAGGUAACGGCUUACCAAGGCAACGAUGCAUAGCCGACCUGAGAGGGUGAUCGGCCACACUGGAACUGAGACACGGUCCAGACUCCUACGGGAGGCAGCAGUAGGGAAUCUUCCGCAAUGGGCGAAAGCCUGACGGAGCAACGCCGCGUGAGUGAUGAAGGUCUUCGGAUCGUAAAGCUCUGUUAUUAGGGAAGAACAGAUGUGUGAGUAACUGUGCACAUCUUGACGGUACCUAAUCAGAAAGCCACGGCUAACUACGUG
rnacentral:rRNA from 1 species